CCUACGGGUGGCUGCAGUGGGGAAUAUUGGGCAAUGGGCGCAAGCCUGACCCAGCAACGCCGCGUGAAGGAAGAAGGCUUUCGGGUUGUAAACUUCUUUUGUCAGGGACGAAGCAAGUGACGGUACCUGACGAAUAAGCCACGGCUAACUACGUGCCAGCAGCCGCGGUAAUACGUAGGUGGCAAGCGUUAUCCGGAUUUACUGGGUGUAAAGGGCGUGUAGGCGGGACUGCAAGUCAGAUGUGAAAACCACGGGCUCAACCUGUGGCCUGCAUUUGAAACUGUAGUUCUUGAGUACUGGAGAGGCAGACGGAAUUCCUAGUGUAGCGGUGAAAUGCGUAGAUAUCAGGAGGAAUACCGUUAGCGAAGGCGGCAAUCUGGCUGGAAACUGACGCUGAGGUGCGAAAGCGUGGGUAGCAAACAGGAUUAGAUACCCUUGUAGUC
rnacentral:rRNA from 1 species